GGCAGGAUGGCCGAGUGGUCUAAGGCGCUGGGUUCAGGUCGCAGUCUCCCCUGGAGGCGCGGGUUCGAAUCCCGCUCCUGUCA
rnacentral:tRNA from 1 species